AAAAAAGGUAAGCUACUAAGAGCGAAUGGUGGAUGCCUUGACUGGUAAAGGCGAUGAAGGACGUACUAGACUGCGAUAAGCUACGGGGAGCUGUCAAGAAGCUUUGAUCCGUAGAUUUCCGAAUGGGGCAACCCAAUGUAUAGAGAUAUACAUUACCUAUAUAGGAGCGAACGAGGGGAAUUGAAACAUCUUAGUACCCUCAGGAAAAGAAAUCAAUAGAGAUUGCGUCAGUAGCGGCGAGCGAAAGCGCAAGAGGGCAAACCCAGUGCUUGCACUGGGGGUUGUAGGACUGUAAUGUGCAAGAGGUAAGUUUAGCAGAACAUUCUGGAAAGUAUAACCAUAGAGGGUGAUAGUCCCGUAUGCGAAAAACAAACCUUAGCUAGCAGUAUCCUGAGUAGGGCGGGACACGAGGAAUCCUGUCUGAAUCCGGGUCGACCACGAUCCAACCCUAAAUACUAAUACCAGAUCGAUAGUGCACAAGUACCGUGAGGGAAAGGUGAAAAGAACUGAGGUGAUCAGAGUGAAAUAGAACCUGAAACCAUUUGCUUACAAUCAUUCAGAGCCUUAUGUAGCAAUACAGGGUGAUGGACUGCCUUUUGCAUAAUGAGCCUGCGAGUUGUGGUGUCUGGCAAGGUUAAGCAAACGCGAAGCCGUAGCGAAAGCGAGUCUGAAUAGGGCGCUUAGUCAGAUGCUGCAGACCCGAAACGAAGUGAUCUAUCCAUGAGCAAGUUGAAGCUAGUGUAAGAACUAGUGGAGGACUGAACCCAUAGGCGUUGAAAAGCCCCGGGAUGACUUGUGGAUAGGGGUGAAAGGCCAAUCAAACUUCGUGAUAGCUGGUUCUCUCCGAAAUAUAUUUAGGUAUAGCGUUGUGUCGUAAUAUAAGGGGGUAGAGCACUGAAUGGGCUAGGGCAUACACCAAUGUACCAAACCCUAUCAAACUCCGAAUACCUUAUAUGUAAUCACAGCAGUCAGGCGGCGAGUGAUAAAAUCCGUCGUCAAGAGGGAAACAACCCAGACUACCAGCUAAGGUCCCUAAAUCUUACUUAAGUGGAAAACGAUGUGAAGUUACUUAAACAACCAGGAGGUUGGCUUAGAAGCAGCCAUCCUUUAAAGAAAGCGUAAUAGCUCACUGGUCUAGUGAUUUUGCGCGGAAAAUAUAACGGGGCUAAAGUAAGUACCGAAGCUGUAGACUUGCGCACAACUUAGAUUAUUUAAGUUUAGAAUAUGAGAAACUAAGUUAUAUGUUUAGUUAUAUUUUUACUGAUUUUUAUAGAGUAAAGAUAGAAAUAAAACUUAGUAAAAUCAGUAAAAAUAUUCUUAGACUAAAGUUAAGUAGUUUAAGUUGUGUGCAAGUGGUAGGAGAGCGUUCUAUUUGCGUCGAAGGUAUACCGGUAA
rnacentral:rRNA from 1 species